UACGUAGGGGGCUAGCGUUGUCCGGAAUCAUUGGGCGUAAAGAGCGUGUAGGCGGCCCGAUAAGUCCGCUGUGAAAGUCCAGGGCUCAACCCUGGGAUGCCGGUGGAUACUGUCGGGCUCGAGUCCGGAAGAGGAGUGUGGAAUUCCUGGUGUAGCGGUGAAAUGCGCAGAUAUCUGGAGGAACACCGGUGGCGAAGGCGGCAUCCUGGACCGGCAUUGACGCUGAGGCGCGAAAGCCAGGGGAGCAAACGGG
rnacentral:rRNA from 1 species